CCGCUGGCCACGCCCCCAGCUCCCACGGCGACGCGCCGGGAAUCGGUGACGGGCGGGGGCCGUGAGGGGACGGGCGAUGUACAGGGACAGCUGAGUGGGGACAGGGGUCCUAAUUACUCUGGAGGAUGGAGCUCCCAAGACCAUUCCCACCUCUGACCAACAACACCUAAACUGUGCUUUGGAGCCAGCUCCAUCUGGGAUGGAUCCAGUUCUUCAGGUUAACAGAUUUUAAUUCUCUGUGAAGGAAACUCCAUGUAUUUUAAGGAAGUGCUAAGCAUCAUGAUGGUUUUUAUGACUACUGGAGGCAUAAUUGGAGUAUCAUGGGAAGCAGAGGGCUGUGUUAUUAGUCAGCACAUGACACCACAUACACAUUCAGUUAUUAGAAAAUAAGCAGCUCAAGAAGGUAAGUAACAAUUGAGACUAUAUUUUUGAGCCUGAAUUGUGCCUAAAAGUGAAAACUUAAUUUUUCAACACUUCUACUAAGACAUAGUUUGCUUACAUACUUUAUCUUUGUGUAUGCUUGUAUUUAUAUGAUUGCUUUUAUAUAUUUUAGCACUGAUUUUCUAGAGAUCACAUCAGUGACUGAGAGUGGAUGAUGCCAGUGCCCGUCCUGGCAGCCCUGGUGCAAGGGGAAUACUGGGGAUGGCAAAAUGGAAACGGUCUUGGUGACACUGAUAUUUUUGGGCAGUCCCAGCUUCCAUGGCACUGAGUCACUGCAGCAGAGCAACCUCUAAGGAGUGUCCUCCUUCCACAUCAGCCAGAGGGAAGGCUCUGCCCCUUCCUCCUGCUCUCCCAGCAGUGUGACAGAGCUCCAGAAAGGACAGCCAGUCCAUUCAGGAGUUAUCUCCUACUGAGGCACUGAUCUGCCAGGCUUACCCCUGCAGUGUUGCACUCCAGCUUAAAGCUGUACAGGUAUUUGGCAGCCUGGAUAUCUGAAAAACCUGAAGGAAAAUGUAAGCUGAGUUUACAGCUGAGCUGGGAAAGGGAAAAAAGGACACUGAUGAAGUCCCUAGGGAGGACAGAAACAGUAAAUGGAAGAUAAAAAGGAAAGAUGAAGCAGGGCCUCUAGUCUGAUUGUGUCCUUUACCUGCUCCAGUGCCACCUUGGGGAGCAGC
rnacentral:lncRNA from 1 species